rnacentral:rRNA from 1 species
AUUGAACGCUGGCGGCAGGCCUAACACAUGCAAGUCGAGCGAGCGGCGGACGGGUGAGUAAUGUCUGGGAAACUGCCUGAUGGAGGGGGAUAACUACUGGAAACGGUAGCUAAUACCGCAUACCAUCAGAUGUGCUCAGAUGGGAUUAGCUAGUAGGUGGGGUAACGGGUCACCUAGGCGACGAUCCCUAGCGGGUCUGAGAGGAUGACCAGCCACAUUGGAACUGAGAGAAGGUCCAGACGCCUACGGGAGGCAGCAGUGGGGAAGAUUGCACAAUGGGCGCAAGCCUGAUGCAGCUAUGCCGCGUGUGUGAAGAAGGCCUUCGGGUUGUAAAGCACUUUCAGCGGGGAGGCGUUACCCGCAGAAGAAGCACCGGCUAACUCCGUGCCAGCAGCCGCGGUAAUUC